UCAGGGAACUACUUUGCCUUCCGCCCGUCAUGGUCACAUGUGAACUACGACUCUGUAGAUACAGUCGUGACAGGUACAGAGAGUGUGUCGCUAUGGUGACGUUUGGAGACGGAUCGUUAGUAUUCUAAGAACUUUGGAUUCACGUCUGUUUAGUUUUUCCAUAUUUUUCCAAACUGGUAGGAACCUGUCACCUCCUUCAUUUAUCUUUUCCAAACCAUAAAGCAUGAAGACUUCGAGCAGCAGCAGCAGCAGGGGAACGUUCUGGAACGACUCUCAAACUGGGGAGGGAAGAAGAAGAGCUUCUCGCUCUUGGAGGCAGAAGAACCUGACGCCGACCUUUGGCGUCGCGCUCGGCUCAACGACAGACUCUCAGCUGCACGACCAGAGAAGAGCGCCGCCGCCGAGUGAGAACGAAGUGAGACAAUGAAUCACAAGAUGUAUCAAAGGACUGAUCAAGGUCUUUACAGGACAGGAACAAAGUGAAGAUAUGAAUCUGAAAUAUAGUGAAGCUGGAGAGUCAUUAUGUAAAUUCUGAUCUUCCUAAUUGCCGUCACUUUGUAAAGUAUUCUCUCCAGACGCAGCAGCACUUCACACUGACAGGCCCACAAACUAAGUGAUGAUAAAUAAUGCACUUGGUUAUUUUCACUUCCAAAAAUGUUUUUCUGUGAUUUUUCUGGAAACAGAACAGUAAAUAUCGUUCACUGCUUCUUCUGUCAGAGCAGAAACACUGAGACCGUCCCAGACCAGCUGUUCUUCUGAUGACCUCACACGAGUCGGUCGAUUACGUUAACGUUAUCAUGUCUUCUAUCUGAGGCAGUGCCACAUGAUUAAAGGUCCAGAUUCUUAAAUACCUGCUCGUUGAUAUUAAUUCAGUCUUCAUAUCACAUAUUUAUCGUCUGACAUCAGGAGGAGGCUAAGCUUCCCCAAGAUGAUCGUGGAAACGAGAUACUGAGGCUCUGUUUGUGUCCUACUUGGUGUGAUUGUUAUCACGAUGCGUCAGUAUCUGAGGAAAUGUCUCCUCAGGGACUUUCUUCAUCAACGGGAGGAAAGUAAACGGACGAAUACUUAGAAUAUUCAUAUUUAAUUAAACACUCAUCAUGCAUUGAAUGCUCUGGUACAGAACAUAUAAAGAGCACAAUGUGGUUAAAGUAACGUGAAUUGAUUUGUGAAGUGAUAUGAUUGAGUGUGACAUCGUCUGUACCAGAGACUCUUCAGGUCAUCAGGUCACUGGAGCACGACACAAACUGAAUGUUCAUUCAUCUGCACAACAAUCAUCUGCUUCAUCAAACUUAUUUUUGAUAAGUUUUUUUGUGAAUUCCUCACAAUGUAAUAAAAAACACAAACAGC